CGCCGCAAUCUACUCUUUGGUCACCUUUCGCCUCCGGUUACAGCAGCCCUAUCGGUCCUUCCAGAGAACCAUCGCCACCGCUAACUCCGGUGACGGCGGUGGAGACGCAACCCGUUAUGAUUCCUUUUCAAUCAAAACAAGCUUUAAUCGAUGACCAGAUCCGAUCUAUUCAAGCUAACGUGAGCUCAUGUUUUAUCAUUCAUUAUUUUACUAAAAAUCUUCUUUUUAUAAAAAAAAUGCGUUGGUUAAAAAUCAACGGUUUAGAAUUAACCUUAAAGAAAAGAGUUUCGUUACCACCGUCGGGUGUAUUAUCUUUUUUAAUAAAAGUUCGUAUUACUUUUCGUUUCUUAGUUCCAUAAGAUCAAAAAGGAGAAAGAUAAGCAACGUAACCACCGCUAACUCCGGUGACGGCGAUGGAGACGCAACCCGUUAUGAUUCCUUUUCAAUCAAAACAAGCUUUAAUCGAUGACCAGAUCCGAUCUAUUCAAGCUAACGUGAGCUCAUGUUUUAUCACACAUUAUUUUACCAAAAAUCUUCUUUUUAUAAAAAAAAAAUCCGUCGGUUAUAAAUCAACGGUUUAGAAUUAACCUUAAAGAAAAGAGUUUCGUUACCACCGUCGGAUGC
rnacentral:lncRNA from 1 species